rnacentral:tRNA from 1 species
GUACUAGUAGUUCAGAGCCAGAACGCCGGUCUUGUAAACCGGAUGCCAGGGGUUGAAGUCCCCUCAAGUACU